UACGUAGGGGGCAAGCGUUGUCCGGAUUUAUUGGGCGUAAAGAGCGUGUAGGCGGCUUUACAGGUCCGCUGUGAAAACUCGAGGCUCAACCUCGAGCUGUCGGUGGAAACCGUAAGGCUAGAGUCCGGAAGAGGAGAGUGGAAUUCCCGGUGUAGCGGUGAAAUGCGCAGAUAUCGGGAAGAACACCCGUGGCGAAAGCGGCUCACUGGACCACAACUGACGCUGAGGCGCGAAAGCUAGGGGAGCAAACAGG
rnacentral:rRNA from 1 species